rnacentral:rRNA from 1 species
CGCACGCAGCCUAAAACAGCAAGUCGGACGGGAUCCAUUCGGUAGCUUUGCACCGAUGGUGAGAGUGGCGCACGGGUGCGUAACGCGUGAGCAACCUGCCCAUAUUCAGGGGGAUAGCCCGGAGAAAUCCGGAUUAACACCGCAUGACACUGCUUUCCGGCAUCGGGAGGCGGUCAAAUAUUCAUAGGAUAUGGAUGGGCUCGCGUGACAUUAGCUAGUUGGUGGGGUAACGGCCCACCAAGGCGACGAUGUCUAGGGGCUCUGAGAGGAGAAUCCCCCACACUGGUACUGAGACACGGACCAGACUCCUACGGGAGGCAGCAGUAAGGAAUAUUGGUCAAUGGGGGCAACCCUGAACCAGCCAUGCCGCGUGCAGGACGACUGCCCUAUGGGUUGUAAACUGCUUUUGUUAGGGAAUAAACCCCGCUACGUGUAGCGGGCUGAAUGUACCCUAAAGAAUAAGGAUCGGCUAACUCCGUGCCAGCAGCCGCGGUAAUACGGAGGAUCCGAGCGUUAUCCGGAUUUAUUGGGUUUAAAGGGUGCGUAGGCGGCACUUUAAGUCAGGGGUGAAAGACGGCAGCUCAACUGUCGCAGUGCCCUUGAUACUGAAGUGCUUGAAUGCGGUUGAAGACGGCGGAAUGAGACAAGUAGCGGUGAAAUGCAUAGAUAUGUCUCAGAACACCGAUUGCGAAGGCAGCUGUCUAAGCCGUUAUUGACGCUGAUGCACGAAAGCGUGGGGAUCGAACAGGAUUAGAUACCUGGUAGUCCACGCCCUAAACGAUGAUGACUCGAUGUUUGCGAUAUACCGUAAGCGUCCAAGCGAAAGCGAUUAAGUCAGUC